GACAGCAGUCGCCACGGGAAUACGAAGGGGGCUAGCGUUGCUCGGAAUUACUGGGCGUAAAGGGCGCGUAGGCGGACAGUUCAGUCGGGGGUGAAAGCCCGGGGCUCAACCUCGGAACUGCCUUUGAUACUGUCGAUCUUGAGUAUGGGAGGGGUGUGUGGAACUCCGAGUGUAGAGGUGAAAUUCGUAGAUAUUCGGAAGAACACCAGUGGCGAAGGCGACACACUGGCCCAUUACUGACGCUGAGGCUCGAGAGCGUGGGGAGCAAACAGGAUUAGAUACCCCGGUAGUCCCUGUCUCUUAUAA
rnacentral:rRNA from 1 species